UCACGCUUGACCCGUAUUCAUAUACCUCCAACUUCUCCCAAAUAGUAAUCGUGUCUCGCGCAUAGGAUCACACAUCGAUCUCGCCAUGGUGUUCAUCACAUCCCCCAAUCACAAAACCCUAACCCUAAAUCUAAACCCUAAGACCACCACCCUCCAAGCCCUAAAGCUCCAAAUCGAGCAAAAUUCCCACAUACCCAUUCCUCUGCAGCGCCUAUUCAUCUCGCAAAGCCUCCAAUUACUCACCCAAUCCGACUCCGCCCUCCUCUCCGACCUCGGAAUCCUACCCCUCUCAACCCUAACUCUUCACAUCCCCUUAUUCGGCGGCACCCAACCUCCCGCCGUCCCUAAACCCCGCCUCGAGUUCCUCAACUCCAAGCCUCCCCCGAAUUAUGUCGCAGGGCUCGGCCGUGGUGCCACUGGCUUCACCACCAGGUCUGAUAUCGGGCCCGCACGUGCCGCGCCCGACCUGCCUGAUAGGUCGGCCACCACAAUCGGAGGCGCUACUGCUCCUGCUGCGCCGCCUGGGGUCGGCCGAGGGCGCGGGAAGCCCGACGAAGAGGAGGAGGAUGAAGGGGAGGAUAAAGGGUACGAUGAGAAUCAGAAGUUUGAUGAAUUCGAAGGGAAUGAUGUUGGGUUGUUUGCAUCGGCGGAAUACGAUGAUGAGGACAAGGAGGCUGAUGCGGUGUGGGAAGCCAUUGAGCAAAGAAUGGACUCUCGGAGGAAGGACAGGAGAGAAGCACGGUUGAAAGAAGAGAUUGAAAAGUACAGAGCUUCGAACCCAAAGAUCACGGAGCAGUUUGCCACUCUGAAGAGGAAGUUGUACACUGUGUCUGCUCAGGAAUGGGAGAGCAUACCGGAAAUUGGAGACUAUUCGUCGAGGAACAAGAAGAAGAGAUUCGAGAGCUUUGUACCGGUGCCCGAUACACUUUUAGAGAAAGCAAGACAGGAAAAGGAGCAUGUUACGGCAUUGGACCCCAAGAGUAGGGGAGCUGGUGGUACGGAGACUCCGUGGUCUCAAACUCCGGUUACGGAUUUGACUGCUGUAGGUGAGGGUAGAGGUACUGUUUUGUCAUUGAAAUUAGAUAGGCUUUCUGAUUCUGUUUCUGGAUUGACGGUUGUGGACCCGAAAGGGUACCUUACUGAUCUUAAGAGCAUGAAGAUUACUAGUGAUGCAGAGAUUUCAGAUAUUAAAAAGGCUAGGUUGUUGCUUAAGAGUGUUAUACAGACGAAUCCAAAGCACCCACCUGGUUGGAUUGCGGCUGCAAGGCUGGAGGAGGUGGCUGGGAAGAUUCAGGCAGCUAGACAAUUGAUUCAGAAAGGGUGUGAAGAAUGUCCUAAGAGUGAGGAUGUGUGGUUAGAGGCGUGUAGGCUUUCAAGCCCUGAUGAAGCUAAGUCUGUGAUUUCUAAGGGUGUGAAGUCGAUUCCCAAUUCGGUGAAGUUGUGGAUGCAGGCUGCGAAAUUGGAGCGUGAUGAUUUGAAUAGGAGCAGGGUAUUGAGGAAAGGUUUGGAACACAUUCCCGAUUCUGUUAGGCUAUGGAAGGCAGUGGUGGAGCUUGCCAAUGAGGAGGAUGCAAGACUUUUGCUUCAUAGGGCUGUGGAGUGUUGUCCCUUGCACAUUGAGUUAUGGCUUGCACUUGCAAGAUUAGAAACUUAUGAUAAUGCGAGGAAGGUCCUUAAUAGGGCGAGAGAGAAGUUAUCAAAAGAGCCUGCCAUUUGGAUCACAGCAGCGAAGUUGGAGGAAGCUAAUGGGAACACGGCCAUGGUUGGGAAGAUUAUUGAAAGGGGUAUAAGGGCUUUGCAAAGAGAAGGGUUGGCGAUUGAUAGAGAGGCAUGGAUGAAGGAGGCUGAAGCUGCUGAGCGUGCAGGAUCUGUUGCAACUUGCCAAGCAAUCAUUCGGAACACAAUUGGGAUUGGUGUGGAGGAAGAGGAUAGGAAGAGGACAUGGGUUGCUGAUGCUGAGGAAUGCAAGAAAAGGGGUUCCAUUGAAACAGCCAGAGCUAUUUAUGCACACGCACUUACUGUCUUUUUAACCAAGAAGAGCAUAUGGCUCAAAGCCGCACAGCUUGAAAAGAGCCAUGGGACUAGGGAAUCUCUUGAUGCUUUACUUCGUAAAGCGGUGACAUACCGACCACAGGCUGAAGUCUUGUGGCUUAUGGGUGCUAAGGAGAAGUGGCUUGCUGGGGAUGUGCCCGCUGCUCGUGCCAUCCUUCAAGAAGCUUAUGCUGCCAUUCCCAAUUCUGAAGAAAUUUGGCUUGCUGCAUUUAAACUUGAAUUUGAGAACCAUGAACCAGAGAGAGCUAGAAUGCUUCUUGCCAAAGCCCGAGAAAAGGGAGGCACUGAAAGAGUGUGGAUGAAAUCAGCAAUUGUUGAGAGAGAAUUAGGGAACAUUAAUGCAGAGAGGAAGUUGCUUGAUGAUGGGUUGAAGCGCUUCCCUUCCUUUUAUAAAUUAUGGUUGAUGCUUGGACAGCUAGAGGAACGCCUUGGUCAUUUGGAGAAAGCCAAGGAGGCCUAUGAUUCGGGUCUGAAGUACUGCUCCAGUUCUAUUCCACUGUGGCUUUCUCUUGCUAAUCUUGAAGAGAAGAUGACUGGUCUGAGUAAAGCUCGUGCAAUUCUGACGAUGGCCAGGAAGAAGAAUCCUCAGAACCCUGAAUUGUGGCUUGCUGCUGUUCGAGCUGAAUUAAGGCAUGGAAAUAAGAAGGAAGCUGAUAUCUUGAUGGCAAAGGCCUUGCAGGAGUGUCCCAAUAGUGGUAUAUUGUGGGCUGCGUCCAUUGAGAUGGUACCCCGUCCACAACGGAAGACGAAGAGUAUGGAUGCCCUCAAGAAAUGUGAUCAUGAUCCCCAUGUCAUUGCUGCUGUGUCUAAGUUAUUUUGGCAUGACAGGAAGGUUGACAAAGCUAGGACUUGGCUUAACAGGGCAGUGACACUAGCGCCAGAUAUUGGGGAUUUCUGGGCUUUAUACUACAAAUUUGAACUUCAACAUGGGACCGAUGAGAACCAGAAAGAUGUACUUAAAAGGUGCAUAGCUGCAGAACCAAAGCAUGGUGAGAAAUGGCAACCUAUUUCAAAGGCCGUGGAGAACUCCCACCAACCAACUGAAGCCAUCUUGAAGAAAGUGGUGGUUGCUCUUGGGAAGGAAGAGAGUGCAGCUGAAAAUAAUAAACAGUAGUUCAAGCUCUUCUGUUCCAGAUUCUGUUUCUGGGUUGGCGGUUGAGGAACAAGAAGACAUUCAAGAGCUUUCUGCUGGUGGCCGCUGCGCUUUCAAACAAGGCAAGACAGGAACUGGAGUCGAAAGGGUACCUUACUGAUCUUAAGAAUAUGAAUACUACUAGUGAUGCUGAGAUUUCAGAUAAUGAAAAUGCGAGGUUGCUGGCACAGACGAAUCCGACGCACCCACGUGGUUGGAUUGCUGCUGCCAGGCUGGAGGUGGUGGCUGGGAACAUUCAGGUAGCUAGGUGAUUGAUUCGGAAAGGUUGUGAGGAUGUGUGGUUAGAGGCGUGUAGGCUUGCGAGCCCUGAUGAAACAAAGGCCUUGAUUUCGAAGGGAGUGAAAUUGAUUCCCAAUUCGGACAAACUGUGGAGGCAGGCUGCGGAAUUGGAGCAUGAUGAUUUGAGUAGGAGCAGGGUGUUGAGGAAAGGUUUGGAACACAUUCCCGAUUCUGUUAGGCUGUGGGAGGCUGUCGUGGAGCUUGCCGGUGAGGAAGAUAAGAGACUUUUGCUUCAUAGGGCUAUGAAGUGUUGUCCCUUGCACGUUGAGUUGUGGCUUCAACAUGGUGCAUUGGAAACUAAUGAGAAUAUGUGGAUGUCUUUACCAAGGCAAGAGAGAAGGUAUUGUGUUGUCUAUAUCUGACCGCUACUGUCAUGCCGGGGUUUAUAACCUACAGACAGUCAUGGAAAACAUAGGUUGGCAUGUCAAUGGAGUGGAGCUUCGUCCUUUGAGCAAGGGAAAUAACUGUCUUUUGCUUACGCAGAUUACAGAAUAGAGGGAGGAAGAAAUGAUGCAAGUAUGCAAGCGGAACAGAUUUAUUUACUUGUAUCCUAUGUAUGGCCUCUAAGUCGAUUGUUUGAAAUUGGCAAUUUCAACCGUGUAGCGAGGUGCAUGUGCAAUUUUUUUUUUUUUUUUUUUUUUUUGAGUGCAUCGAUAUUUUUACACUAGGGGGAGGGGGAGGUCGGUUAAGCCACAUAAUGGGCAAUUUAAUUUGGUAUCAUUUCGUUGUUUACGAGAUUCGAAUCUAAGAUUUUUCAUUUCCCAGUG